GGCGGCACGCCUAACACAUGCAAGUCGAACGAAGUAGCAAUACUUAGUGGCAGACGGGUGAGUAACAUGUAGGUAUCUGCCCUUUGGCCUGGAAUAACACGAGGAAACUUGUGCUAAUACCGGAUAAGUCUUUACGGAGAAAGCUUUAUGCACCAUUGGAUGAGCCUGCACUUGAUUAGUUUGUUGGUGGGGUAAUGGCCUACCAAGACUGUGAUCAAUAGCUGAUUUGAGAGGAUGAUCAGCCACAUUGGGACUGAGACACGGCCCAAACUCCUACGGGAGGCAGCAGUGGGGAAUCUUGCACAAUGGAGGAAACUCUGAUGCAGCGAUGCCGCGUGAGUGAAGAAGGCCCUUGGGUUGUAAAGCUCUUUCGUCGGGGAAGAAAAUGACUGUACCCGAAUAAGAAGGUCCGGCUAACUUCGUGCCAGCAGCCGCGGUAAUACGAAGGGACCUAGCGUAGUUCGGAAUUACUGGGCUUAAAGAGUUCGUAGGUGGUUGGAAUAGUUGGUGGUGAAAUCCCAGAGCUUAACUCUGGAACUGCCAUCAAAACUUUUCAGCUAGAGUAUGAUAGAGGAAAGCAGAAUUUCUAGUGUAGAGGUGAAAUUCGUAGAUAUUAGAAAGAAUACCAAUUGCGAAGGCAGCUUUCUGGAUCAUUACUGACACUGAGGAACGAAAGCAUGGGUAGCGAAGAGGAUUAGAUACCCUCGUAGUCCAUGCCGUAAACGAUGUGUGUUAGACGUUGGAAAUUUAUUUUCAGUGUCGCAGCGAAAGCGAUAAACACACCGCCUGGGGAGUACGACC
rnacentral:rRNA from 1 species